rnacentral:rRNA from 1 species
AUUGAACGCUGGCGGCAGGCUUAACACAUGCAAGUCGAGCGGGGUGAUGGUGCUUGCACUAUCACUUAGCGGCGGACGGGUGAGUAAUGCUUAGGAAUCUGCCUAUUAGUGGGGGACAACAUCUCGAAAGGGAUGCUAAUACCGCAUACGUCCUACGGGAGAAAGCAGGGGAUCACUUGUGACCUUGCGCUAAUAGAUGAGCCUAAGUCGGAUUAGCUAGUUGGUGGGGUAAAGGCCUACCAAGGCGACGAUCUGUAGCGGGUCUGAGAGGAUGAACCGCCACACUGGGACUGAGACACGGCCCAGAGUCCUACGGGAGGCAGCAGUGGGGAAUAUUGGACAAUGGGGGGAACCCUGAUCCAGCCAUGCCGCGUGUGUGAAGAAGGCCUUACGGUUGUAAAGCACUUUAAGCGAGGAGGAGGCUCUUUUGGUUAAUACCCAAGAUGAGUGGACGUUACUCGCAGAAUAAGCACCGGCUAACUCUGUGCCAGCCGCCGCAGUAA